CGCCAUUGCCGAGUGCGAUCGGCCAUCCUGAUACCAGCACAACAUGGCUGCUUAGUUACAGGGCGGGGGGAGAGGAAGGGCCCUGGGUCACUUUCCUGGAAAUUCAAAAAGUUUAACAGACUCUGGAGGAGAAAGUGGACUUUCUCAAAAGACAAGGACUUUGUUCAACUCUGCCACACGUAAAUGCGAUCCAGGUGCAAGUCAAGUCAUCACCCAGCGAAACCAUCCGAGAACCAACAAAAAAGUGACCUAGCACUGAUCUGAGUCUUGAAGCUCACACAGCUCAUAAAAUACCUGGAAGGGGUGAACACUAUCCGGGAGGCUCAGCAGAUAUGAUCUGUGACCUGUGGGCCCACCCAGAAGGAGACACAUACGCUCCUAAGGUCUUGAGACAACCAGCAAAACAAACACAAAGCCUUGACAUGGUGAUUCUUGGUGACUAGAAUCGAUAUAAAGUGAUAUUUGGGAUCACAAGGAAGGCGAGAUGUAGCCUUAGCAACUGGACGUGACAUUAUCUUGGACUUUGAAGGCCUUGAGACAACCAGCAAAACAAACACAAAGCCUUGACAUGGUGAUUCUUGGUGACUAGAAUCAAAAUAAAGUGAUAUUUGGGAUUACAACGGAAGCCGAGAUGUAGCCUUAGCAACUGGACAUGACAUUAUCUUGGACUUUCAAGGGGAGGUGCAAACUGGUCUUGAGACAACCAGCAAAGCAAACGCACAGCCUUGACAUGGUGAUUCUUGGUGACUAGAAUCGAUAUAAAGUGAUAUUUGGGAUCACAAUGGAAGGCGAGAUGUAGCCUUAACAACUGGACGUGACAUUAUCUUGGACUUUGAAGGUUUUGAGCCAAUCAGCAAAACAAACACAAAGCCUUGACAUAGUGAUUCUUGGUGACUAGAAUCAAAAUAACGGGAUAUUUGGGAUAACAACGGAAGGUGAGAUGUAGCCUUAGCAACUGGAUGUGGCAUUAUCCUGGACUUUCAAGGGGAGGUGCAAACUGGUAUUGAGACAACCAGCAAAACAAACACAAAGCCUUGACAUGGUGAUUCUUGGUGACUAGAAUCGAUAUAAAGUGAUAUUUGGGAUCACAAGGAAGGCGAGAUGUAGCCUUAGCAACUGGAUGUGACAUUAUCUUGGACAUUCAAGUAGGCCUUGAGACAACCAGCAAAACAAACACAAAGCCUUGACAUGGUGAUUCUUGGUAACUAGAAUCGAUAUAAAGUGAUAUUUGGGAUCACAACAGAUGCUGAGAUGUAGCCUUAGCAACUGGACAUGACAUUAUCUUGGACUUUCAAGGUCUGUCCAUGGGUAUGAUUGAGGACAAGCCAAGAAAGAUCCUAAAGGGAUACCCUUGAUGCCCAGCAUUAAAAUAAAGCAAACCUUGGGAUUAUAAUCAUUGGAUAACCCUGACAACUGAAGAGAACAAAUCUAUGAUCUUUAUCAUCAGGUGUUGGACAUUUUAUGGCUCCUCAGUUUUGUAUAUUAAUGCCCUCAGAAGCAGAGAAGCAGCAUCUGAACAACCAACUCAGGAAUGAUGUUGGACAUUCUAUGGCUUCUCAGAGAAGUAGAGAAGGACCAUCUGAACAAGCAAGUCAGGAAUGAAAUGAUCAUGGCUACUGCUGUUUACCAAAAUAAUAAUAAUAAUAAUAAUGAGCAGUGAAAACACUCAUGAAUCAAUGGAGAGGGGGAAGGCUCCAGUUAUCUCAUGAGCAGCAGUCUGUGGCAUAGUAAAAAGAAUGUUGGACCUGGAGUUAGGAAGACCUGGAUUUGAGUCCUGCCUCCUUACUUUACCCAGGUAAGUCAUUAACCACAUUUGCCUUGAUUUUCUCAUCUAUAAAAUGGGGAUGACAAUUCCUAUAUCUACCUACCAGAAUUGUUUCAAGAGUCAGUUAGGAAAGGGAUAAACAGUUAUUAAGAGCCUACUAUGGGGGGGCAGCUGAGUGGCUCAGAGGAUUGAGAGCCAGGCCCAGAAACAGGUAGGUCCUGGGUUCAAAUCUGGAAUCAGACACUUCUUAGCUGGGUGACCCUGGACAAGUCACUUAACCCCCAUGGCCUAGCCCUUACCACUCUUCUGCCUUGGAACCAACACACAAUAUUGAUUCUAAGACAGAAGAUGAGAAUAUUUUUAAAAAGGAAAGUGAGGGCAGCUGGGGGGCUCAGUGGAUUGAGAGCCAGGCCUAGAGAAGGGAGAGAGGCCCUGAGUUCAAAUUUGGCCUCAGACACCUCCUACCUGUGUGACCCUGGGCAAAUCAUUUCACCCCCAUUGCCUAGCCUUUACCGCUCUUCUGCCUUGGAGCCAAUACACAGUAUUGAUUCUAAAAUGGAAAGUGAGGGCUUAAAAAAACUACAAUGUGCCAGGCACUGUGCUGAGUGCCUAUCUCAUUUGAUCUAAUAAUAAUCCUUGGAGGUGGGUACUAUUAUUAUCUUCAUUUUACAGUUGAGGAAACUGAGGCAGGCAGUGACUAAAUGACUUGCCCAGGCUGGAUUUUAACUCAGAUCUUCCUGUUUCUAGGCCCUUUGCUCUAGCCACUGAGCAACCUAGCUCAGGGCUCAAAUAAAACUCUUGGCCAAUCUUAGCAUGCUACAUAAAAGCUAGUUGUUCUUGUUCCUGGAGGACCUGCAGAGCAUCGUAUCCUCGCACUCUCUGUUUCUGUGGCCCAGCAUCAGCACUUGAAGGCGGGGCCCAUUUCGUUGCUUCCUUUUUUCCUUGGCAUGUGGACUGGCGCAAGCAUUCAGUAGGUCCUGCUGGCCGCUCUGCAGUGGAGUGGAUGCAGGUGUUGCUAAUGCAAUGCUGAUUGGUCGGCUACCUGUCCUGACCCACUGCCAUUCCUCUCUUUGGUCCACAAGUCUACAAGACUCGAAUCAGGUGGUUCCCAAGACUGGUGCUAACCAUUGGACAUCUGCGAGUUGGAGAGAAGUCUCUCUGCCCCUGUCAGUGAGCUCCAGAUCCCAUUAGCCACUGCUGCCUUCUUGCUGAAGGAGGGAUGUGUCAAUGGUAGAGGGCAAGCUGGUAAGGCUUGGGGAGAGUCAAUACGUCAGUGACUGUGCAAUGAUCCCAGAGACCACAGGCUUGGGAGGGGUUGAAGGGGGCUCUCAUGAACCCCAGGGCUGUUGUGAAGAGUAGGGGGCUUCAGGUUUGGAGCUGGCUCUCCCAGGGCUUCCCAGAAGAAUCCCAGGAGCCCCAACCAGUGCUGAAAGCACUUUGGUUGGGAGGUGUUAAACAGCGCCUUUUAAUUUUCUUUAAACCCUCACCUUCUGCCUUAGAGUCAAUACUGUGGUCCCAAGGCAGAAGAGCAGUAAGGGCUAGGCAAUGGGGCUGAAGGGACUUGCCCAGGGUCACACAGCUGGGAAGUGUCUGAGGCCAGAUUUGAGCCCAGGAUCUCCCUCUUGUCUCUAGGCCUACUUUCUGUCAUAGUAAUAACUCUAAGACAGAAGGGCAAGGGCUAGGCAAAUGAGGUUAAGCAAGUUGCCCAUAAUCACACAACAAGGAAGCAUCUGAGUUUGGAUUUGAACACAGGUCCUCCUGAUUCCAGGCCUGUGUGCUCUAACCCCAAAAAUCAUUUAAAAAAAUUAAUCUGGGUAGCUAAGCAAUGGAUAAAACGCCAGGCCUGGAGUCAGGAAAACCUGAGUUUGAAAUUGGCCUCAGAACACUUGCUAGCUGUGUGAUCCUAGACAAGUCACAUAUCCACCCCUAUUGGCCUCUAUUUACCCAUCUGUAAAAUAGAGGCCAUAACAGCACCUAGCUUUUAGAGUUUUUGUAAGGAUCAGGUGAGGUAAUAUUUGUCAAAAGCACUUGGCACAGUGCCUUGCACAUAGUAAACAUUAUAUGAGUGUUAGCUAUUAUUAUUAUUAUUAUUGACCUCAUUUGUUUUCAUAUCACUUCCCUGUCUCCCAGAGAGCUAACCCUUAUAAGAAAGAAUAAAAAAAGGAAACCGAAGCAGCUCAGUCAAAGC